rnacentral:lncRNA from 1 species
AUUGAUGGCCUUUGUGCUGGAUCAGUUUGGAUGCACCACAGACCAACUAAUAUCAUCUUUCUAGCAGUUUCUUCUUCUUCUUCUAUGUCUAUAAUCCCACGUAGCUUCAGGUCAUCGUCUAGCUGAAUGUGCUGAUAUGCCCAGUAAGGAAAAUAUAUCUCACUUGUAUGGCUCACUUCUUCCUUGACAUUCUUUCUUCCUCCGACCAUUUCUAGAACCAUCAUUCCAUAACUAUAGACAUCAGACUUGUGUGACACUCCUCCAAAACUCCUACUGAUUACUUCGGGAGCAAUAUAACCAAUCGUCCCUCGUGCUCCUAACAUGGAAACAAUGCUUUCUUUUCUGGUGCAUAGUUUUGCCAAACCAAAAUCUGAUAUCUUAGGACAGAAUUCUUCAUCAAGGAGUAUGUUAUGAGGCUUUAUGUCAAAAUGCAAAAUUCUUGUAUUGCAUCCACGGUGAAGAUACUCCAAUCCUUUAGCAAUUCCAACUGCAAUUUGAUACAAUUUGUUCAGUCCCAAGAGAGAACCAUCACCGUAUAUGUAUUUCUCUAAGGAUCCAUUUGGCAUGAAGUCAUAAAUUAGAGCUCUUUUGCUCCCAUCAAGACAGUAUCCUAAAAGAGACACGACAUUGACAUGCGAAGUCUGGCUGAUGCUUGCAACUUCAUUGAUAAAUUCUUCACCAUCACCUUUAGAUGCUUUUAAAAUCUUCACUGCAACUGCACGGCCGUCAGAAAGUUCACCUUUGUAGACUCCUCCAUAACCUCCUUCACCAAGCUUAUCUUUGAAUCCAUGUGUCAUUUUCUUGAUUUCCCAAUAGCUGUAUCUCCUUGGUGCCAGAGAUCCAUAUUGCUUAAGUAAGGCCUCUAGACUUUGAUCUUCUGUUUUGCCGCUAAUUAAUUGUAUGCACUUGUAGAAUGAUUCUCUAUAUUGUGUGUACCAGAUUCCUAAGCAGAUUAACAUCCCAAUUCCAGCAAUUGAUAUUCCUAUAUUAUAUUACAAGAGGAAUUAAUGGAACUUCAUGUAGCUAAGCUACAAAUUGUUUUAUUAAAAAUGAGCAUACCUGUUGCUAAAUGAAUCUUAUUAGUGUUUGCUUGAGUCCCAUAUGAGGCAUCACUAUAAUCCACUUCAAACCCCUCAUCCACAGCCUCUUGCAGCGUAAGAGUUGCGUCCCACAAUUUGUUAUAAGCAGUGGAAACAAGAGGUACUAGUAUGCUAAAGGAACAUCCUAGGACAUUUGUUACAAAUUCAUCGCUAAAGAACACACCAGUGUUGAUUGUUCCAUUUAUAAAACAACUAAUAUUGCUCUGCACCUGUACACUGGACAGGACCACAGAACUGCAGCCAUAGUGUAUGUUUAUAAAUCUAGUCCCUGCGACGUAGCUGCAGUGACAAUUAAAAUAGUGGGAGGCCGUUUGAAAGAGAAAUAUAUCUAACUAUACUUGUACUUUUUGUUAUUACACAUAUUCAUAUACGGUAAUACCCCGAGCCACUACGUACCUGAGACCAUUGAUUAAGGUGGUGUUGUACUUGUAGAGACUGUAGAGUGAAGAAGAUUCUGGACAAACAUUUUUCCAGUGAUUAUCAUGAACCAUUCUCAUCUUGAGUGAGGACUGGUUAAUUGACAGUACAUGAAAUUCAGAAGGUCUAUAGCCAAUGAGUUUUCCAUAGACGUAAAGAACAGACAAAGUUGUCUGAUUAUCUUGGCACUGUAGAUAUAAAUCAUGGUUGCCACAUAAACUUGAUCGCGAACCACCUCCCCAGAACGGGUACUUAACACCAUGUAUGCUUCCACAGUUAUAAGCAUCUUCACAAUUUACACUCUCGCCUUCAAACGAAUAGCUGUAACAUGAUGGAAUGGUGCAGAUGACUAAGAUUAGGAGGAAAAAACUUGUAAGGUCAUAUAAGAAUAACAUGACAACAAUUAUAUGAUCUUUCAAAGUUACAUAUCAAAAUACACUUUCUCCAUAUCAUUAAAGAGCUAAAUCCAAAUCCAAAUCAAAGUCAAUGGAAAGAUCAGGUGAAUCAAGUAAGAAAACACCUCUCUGAAUAAACAUUUCUUUAAUGUGCCCAUUGUUGUCAUUUGUCAACACCUAACAGCUCUCUUAACCAAGACUUUGACCUGGAUUACAAAUGUAUUUUUUUUUUUUUUGAAAGGUUCAUCCUACUUUUAAUAAUGUAUGAGUUAUAUCAAAUCACAUUGUAAUGAGUAUCACAAACUUUUUAACAAAAAAAAAUACAAUUUGAAAUAUAUGAACAGUCAAUCUACUCAAAUAACUUCUUUAUUGUAUGUGAAAUGAUUAGACAAUCCAUGAACCUGCAAAAUUUUGACAACAAAACUUGGUUUGGUAAUUAAAGUAAAGAUUAAAAUUUUAUGUUAUUAGGUCCAAACAUGUGAUAUAUAGUAUGUAACAGUACCAAAAAGAAUAUACAAAAAUGAUUAAAUGACUCUGAUUUGAAUGCAGAAGAAAAUUCUACAUAUCUUACUUUGUAGUUAUCCUCUAUUAUUUUAUCCAAUGAUGGUGAGAAUUAGGCACAUUCUUGAUAUUAAUUUAUAUAAGAAUUUAACAUAAAUGCAUAGGUUUGAUUAAAUCAUAUACAUCUUCUAUUAAAUAUUAGUAUUUACGUUAUUUAUCAUUUGACAAGUCAUCACCAGGGGAAUUAAGAGUCCUUUAAGAUGAUAAAUGUAUGUUACGUGAAGCUUUUUAUGAUUAAAUAUAUAUAAUAAGUAGUCUUUAAUAUAAUAUCAUUAGAUAAGACACCCUCUUUUAAUAUCAUUUUUAUUUAUACUAAUAUAGCCUAGAAAUUGUGAUUCUAAUAUCUGUAAUAUUUUUUUAAAAUAAUAUAUAUAUAUAUAUAUAUAUAUAUAAUUAGUAUAUUUGAUGUAUAUAUAACUGAAACAACUAAUUCUAGCAAAUAGUGCAAAUUGACUAGAAAGGAAAGGACACAAUUCUGGUGGGAAAAAUAGUCUGGUAGUUAGCCAUGUUUUCUGUUUGAUUAUUUCAUUUCAUUUAUUUAUAAUUCUAAUUUUCAGCAACGUAACACGUGACUAGCUUAGUAUAAGAGACAUCGUAUCCAUUGCAAAUCAUAUAAUUUGAAUGAUAAUUGAAAUUUUCUCUUCUCUAAAUUCCUUCUCUUUUCUCUCUUGUUUCCUUCAUUGUUCCUCUUUUGAAUUCGAUCCAAUAAUUUGAUAUUAUUUGGUAUCAGAGCAUUGACUCAAAAACAAAUCUUCAUGACAAAAAAUAAGGCUACGAGUGUUGUUGGUUUCAAUCAAGCUUCAUAGCUCAUUAAGUUAUUUGAGGAUUUAAAUGUUCAGCAAGCAAAGCUCCUAAAAAUGUACAAGCUACUGGAGCAACGUAAUGCUAGUUAUUAAGAUAUGAUGGUUGAACUCAAUGGUGCGAUUGAUAACCUUUACCAGUAAAAUCAGAUGCGACAUCACUCAUCAUCGAUUAUAUGAAUGUUGUCCCUCAUUCUUCUUUAUUUUCCUCUUUGUCUUUGUUCUCCCUCUUCAACUUCUGGCAAAACUUCUUUGUGUGCCCUUUCAUGCCACCAUGAUAGAACUCAAUAUCCUUAAGUCUGCCUCUAAAUUUACUUCUGUUAUGUUUCCUAUUUUGAGAAUCACGAGUUUUAUUUCUCCCCUGGAACUAGUUUAACAGGAUAGCUGACGAAAAAGAACCAUGAGAUUUUCUUCUUAUCUCUUCGUUCAAGACACUACUCUUGGCAAAAUUCAUAAUGAUCACACCAUCAGAGCAAAAUUUGAUAAUAAAUUUCUGAAUGUUUCCCAAGAGUCUGGUAGGGAACCAAGUAGAAGCAAGCCUUGAAUUUAUCAUCAAAUUUGAUCCCCAUAGCAAAUAACUGAUUCAUAAUCUCCUGAAAAUUAUUCAAGUGAUUUAUCGUUAGAGAACCAUCAAGAUAUUUUAGAUUUAACAUUUGUUUUAUCAAGAAUAUUUUGUUGUUGUCAGUCCUCCGAGCAAACAAACUCUCAAGAUGCUCUCAUUAGAUUUGAGUAUGUGUCUCCCCAAAAAUAUAAUUAAACACAUUAUCGUCAAUUUAUUGCCUAAUAGAUCCAUAAUUCUGUCUGUGCAACAAAUUCCACUCUUCAUCUGUUUUAUUUUCAAAGUUUAUAGUGGUAAAAUCAGUUGAUAAAAAUUCUUAACAUUGAGAAGAUCUUUCAUUUUCCCUUCCAAAUGACAUAAUUAACGUCAUUCAAAGUAAGCAUUCUACUUGUGUUGACUUUCAUCAUUUUCCCCAAAAAAUAUAGCUAUUGCAAACCAAUGCUCUGAUACUACUUUGUUGAGAAAACGCGGACUAACACAAAAUUAUAUAUGGUCAAAAUAAUGAAAAAAAAUGGGAAAACAAUGACACCAAUAAUUUUACAUGAAAACCCUUUUAAAUAAGGAAAAAACCACAGGUUAAGAGAAGUAACUGAUAUCACUAUAGUAAGGAAUUUUUACAUUGUAUAGUCACAAGUAUAAUACUCAAAGUGAAGACGACACACUCAAAAGGAAUAACACUCUUUUUGUUUACCACUUUACUAAAAUAUCGUUCACACUCUAUUUUUCUUCACAAACUAUUUUCUUAUAUAGUCUAUGAAAACCUCACAGUUCUCUCUCUCUAUAUAUUUUUUCUCUCAAUGUUUUUGGUGUAUUUAUAAAAGAGGAGGCUCUAUUUAUAGAUAAAUUUCCAACUAUUUGAGUCAAUAAAAAAAAAGGUUGGUUGCUUGCAAUUUUCAAUAGAAAAUUGCACCAUCCAUUCAAUAUUUGUUGUCAAUCAUUCAAUUCAUCAUUUGAUGUCACUAUUACUUUUUAACAAUUGCUUGUAGCAAUUGAGAAUCAUUUAUUCAACAACAAAAGUUGACUAAUAGAACAUGGGAUGGACCCUACAAUUAUUUCAAUAAAGGAAACAACUUAACCUUGUUAUAUGUUCUUUUCUUUCUUUGUCAAUAUCUGUAUUUUCUCCUACAAAUUGGUAUCAAAGCUUGGUGAAAUGUUCUACUUUCUUGGAAUGGAAAUUCAGCAAAAUGGACAUGAGAUCUUCAUAUGAUAACAGUAAUACGCUAACGAAAUUCUCAUAAAGUUCAAAAUGUAAGAAUGCAAAUCUACAACAACUAUAAAUCAAAAGGGGAAGCUUUGCAAAGAAAUAGAGAUGAAAAGGUUGAUGAAGGACUUUGUAGGAGCCUGAUAGGUUUCCUAAUGCACUUGACUGCAACGAGACUAGAUAUUCUUUAUGUUGUGAGUUUACUUUCAAGAUAUAUGCAUUAUGCUAGUAAAAUUCAUUUUCAAGUAGCUAAACAUGUGAAUAAAUAUGUUAAAUGUGCUGUGAAUUUUGGUAUAAUGUUCAAAAAAAUAUUAGAUUUUCAGUUUCUUGAAUUUUUUCAUAGUGAUUGGGCUGGUAGCUCAUAUGAUAUGAGAAGCACCUCAGGUUACAGUUUUGAUUUUGGUUCUGGAAUAUUUUCUUGGUGUUCAAAGAAGCAAGAUAUUGUGGCUCAAUCUAGAGCUGAGGCGGAGUACAUUGCAGCUGCAUCAACUAUGAAUCAAGCUCUUUUGAUUCAGAAGCUGCUAGAUUUGUACAUGGUGCAAACGAAAAGCACUGAAAGCUCUGUUGAUGAUCAAGCUGCAAUUUCAAUUGCAAAUAAUCCUAUUUCACAUGGAAACACAAAAUAUUUCAAGAUCAAAUUUUAUUUCUUGAGGGAGAUGCAAAAGAAUGGAGACAUACAUUUAAAGCACUGCGAAAAUGAUUUUCAGAAUGCUGAUAUUUUAACUAAGGCUUAACCUAGAGCAAGAUAUGAGUAUCUUAGAUAAAAAGUGGUAUUGCUGCACCCGAGUCAAGGAGGAUUGUUGAAAGUAGUGCCUCAAAAGCUAGUUAUUAGUUACACCUACUAUUGUAUCAAUAUACAACAUCAAAAUAGGAUUAGGUUCAGAUAAAUAAGGCUACAGUGUUGUGCGGAAUCUGAUUAAUCAAUUGCUAUAUUUUAGUCUUUAGUUAAUGGAGAUAAUGUUAGCUUAUUUUACUUAUUUUCUUUAGCUUUUUAAUUUAUGAAUUCAUGUAUUUAUACGACAAUUUCAAUAAAGAAAACAACUUAGCCUUGUUAUCUAUUUGUUUCUUUGUCAAUAUUUAAUAGAAAUGAACUGUCAUCUGGCUGUAUAAAAUUGAGUAAUUCUUUUCCUAUGAAGAGGUGCCUUAUAUAUAGAGGGCUAAAAGAGUGGCCAUUCAUUCUAAUGUUGAUGUCAUUGCUUGACAUUAGACUUAUAUGGGAAAUAGAGGACCUAUUCCUCAUCCUAGUUGGGAUGAAUACUUGAUAUCUCUCUCAGGAGGUAUGGAGAGGUGUUUGUUGUCCCUAUGAUUGAGCUGAAGUGAUUGAGGCAAAAAGGAUCUCUCAAAGAUUUCCAAAAAGUCUUAGAUAAGUUGCUCACACAAAUGUCCUUCACCCCAGCCCAAUAUGAUAGUUCCUUCCUAGGAAGAUUAAAACCUGAGAUAUUCUAAACCAUUAUUCUCCAGAACCCUUAGAUAUUACCACAUGUCGUGAUAAGAAUCGAGUUACCAGAAUAAAUAAGAAAAUAAUGCGGAAGCGAAAUUAUAAAGAUUAAAGAUAGAAAUUGUAAGAUAUGUGAAAUUCAAGAAUAAAAUCUCCAAUUUCAAGAUAAAGGGGUAAGAACCCUAAUUGAUCUUAGUAUUCAAAAUUAACGGAUUAAGACUAAUUAUGAUACUAAUAGAGGUAAUUCAAGACCUUAUAUCAAAAGUGAUCUAGACCCAUAUUACGAAGAAAUUAGAGACAACAAUUAGUAUAAGACUAAUCACCUUCUUUAAUUUACUAAUAGAAACCAAAGAUAUCAAAUUAAGAAUUAGUCUUACCUCUUAAAAAACCGUUCUUAUAAGGUUGUAAGAUAAAUCCAUAGUCACCACACACAAAGGUGUAAAGAAGAGAAACCUCUCAAAUAAUAUUAAUCAUGUCCGUAUUAAAAUGAUAAAAUCAACCCCUAUAUAUAGGGAAAACCUAUCCCAAAUAGAAUAGGAUUUAAAUCCUACUUUUAUGGAAACUUUAAACUAGGAAACUUUUAAACUAGGAAACUUUAAGCUAGGAAAACAUGAAAACUUUAAACUAGGAAACUUUUUAAACUAGGAAAACUUUAAACUAGUAAACUUUUUAAAAUAUGAACUUUUGACUUUAAGCGUUCAGCUUUCUGGACUCUUUUAUUGGGCUUCGUGUGGCCCAAUCUUCUCUCUUUUGGGCUUGAAUUUGGACACCUCUUUCGUGAUAAAUAUAUUCUUGAUUUUGUAUUGAAGCCUGUCAACUUUAGUACAAGUAGGCUGAUGUGGAUGCUAUCAUUCCCCUCUUCUUGAAAACAAUUCGUCCUCGAAUUUAAAUCUCUCAAAAUCAAGAAGACAUGCAUUAGCAAACAACAUCCAUUUUUCGAAAGCAACAAUGGUAGGAACAAAACAGGAUAGUGACCAUGUGUCCACUUAACCCAAUUAAUCCUGGCAUGUAUAAAUACAUUCUUAUAAAGCAUGUGAACAUCAUCAUCCCAAUAGAAAAUUGUCCUAUUUAUAUAAACACAAUGAAUUCCUUGUCUAGAUGCCAUUGCGAAUGAUACAUGCAACUUCAAGUUAGUUCCAUCAAUAAAGUACUCCAAUGGGCAUGAAAAAUACGAUACAAGAUCCCUAGAACAUGCGUCAAAUUAGACACUUUUAUGAUAUAUCCAAGCAUCCUCAAUCAUCCCACUCACAUAAGCAUUGAAGUGCUCAUAGUCAUGUACCUCAUCCUCAUUAGUAGAAAACACCUUAUUAAGCUCAGACUCAUCAGGACUUGAAGAAUUACGUCUCAUCCCAUAGAAAGUAUCAUAUGCCAACAAAUUAUCACACAAAACUCGAUUCAACACUAGAACAAUAGAAAAAUGAACUAACUCAUUCACAAUCUUUCACACACAAACAUCACACCUCUUUUCAACAAGAGGAAAUCCACAAUCAACUAUGUCAUGCUCAACUUUAAAAGAGCUUAAAUUACUCUUAUUGAACUUGUUGAUUGAAGUUGGUGACUUAUUAUACAUCAAAAUAUCAUCAUCCUCAAAAUCAAUGAAGUCACCAACAUAAGAAUUAAGAGUGUAGUUUAUUACCUCCAAGAAUACUUUAGGUGUUGUAGGAAUACCAAGAAUGUGAAUGAACCAAUUAUACAGACCAUACUUGGUCUUAUGUAGCAAAGGAAUAACAUCACCUCGUUUUUCAUUUCUCAUUGGUGUUAGAUCCACAAUUGCCUUGUUGAACUUUUUGUUAUGCGCCUUAUCUUCGACAGAUCCAAAAUAAUACUCUUUACCUUUAUCGUUCUCAUCAACAUACACUUUCUCAAUUGGAUUUGUAGUAUCAACCACUUUAGAAUUAAGUUCAUCCAAUGACUUUGAUUUUUCAAUGCAUACUUUCCAUGAGUAUAUACAAGAGAGUCAAAACAACUAGAAGAAGAAGUAGGAAUGCUAGAGUUAGAAUAAGAGAUAACCUCACUCAAACUCCCUUGUUUUUCUCUCUUGACCUCACUAUCAUCCUUUUCUUUUUUUUUCUCUCAUGGUCAUCUCUGUUUUCUUUUCUCUCAUUCUCACUUUUUUUCUCACUUGACAUCCCAUUCUCUUCACACAACACAACUUCUCUUUUUUCCUCUCUUAGGAUGUCAGCAUGCACUCCCUUUCUCCUCUCACUCUUUUCUCUCUCAAAUUUCUUCAUUGCAUCUUUCACGCGAUUCUGAUCUUCAUAAACUUGGGUUGGAGUUAAAGGGGAAAAUGUAUAUUUUCUUUCGUUUAGCUCAAGAGAAACUCUAUUCCUUCUCCUAUCAUGAAUUACAUUCCUAUUAAAUUGUCAUGGCCGCCCAAGCAUGAUGUGACAAUCUUGCAUUGGAAUGACAUCACAAAGAACAUUAUCGGAAUAUCUCCCAAUGGAGAAAUAAACCUUGCAUUCCUUAGUCACCUUACGCUCGCCAAAAUCAUUCAACCAUUGCCGCUUAUAAGGAGUGUGUGUUUAAUGCAUGUAAAUUUAAACUUGUCCACAACGUAUGAACUUACCACAUUAGUACCACUUUCACUAUCAAUAAUCAUAGAGCAAAUUUUACCAUUUAUCCCACACCUUGUAUCAAAAAUAGUUUCUCUCCUUAAAUUGGCUAUAGUGACAUUCUUCUCCUUCAACCGUUUGAUCAACACAUCAACACAAUUAAUGUCGUUUUGAGUUGUAGCUUCAAUUUUCUUACCUGUUUCAAACAUCUCAAACAAUAUCAAAGAAAUAAAUAUCUCUCAAUUAAUUUGGCUUUUCUUUUCUCUAUUAAUCCCACUCUCUCUUGCCUUUUCCCACUCAAAUUACUACCUUUGGAUGAAUCCUUCAGAAUUUAUGUAUAAACCCUAUUAGUAACAACCUUUUAAAAGUAAGAUGUAGAAAGAAAAUAAUUUAUCACUUCCAGAUAAAUUGGGAUUGAUGAGACAAGAAAAAGACAACUUUGUGAAACAUGCAAAACUUCAAAAUUCCCCUUUUCUUGAUUUCUUCUUUGAGGUAGAAAAUCAGGAAUCAAAACAAAUUCGGAGUUUCUUAUUUUCUUUUUUUCCCUUUUUCUUGUUUUUUUUGUUGCUUUGUAGCUUAACUUUUAAACAACUAUAAAAAGACAUUUUUUUUCUUUUUGUUUUGAAAUUCCCAAGAUUAUCAAGAAUGAAACCUUGAUAAAACCGCUCUGAUACCACUUGAUAAGAAUCGGGUUACUAGAAUAAGCAAGAAAAUAAUGUGGAAGCGAAAUUAUAAAGAUUAAAGACAAAAAUUGAAAGAUAUGUAAAAUUCAAGAAUAAAAUCCCCAAUUUCAAAAUAAAGUGUUAAGAACCUUAAUUGAUCUUAGUAUUCAAAAUUAACGAAUUAAGACUAAUUGUGAUACUAAUAGAGUUAAUUCAAGAACUUAGAUCAAAAGUGAUCUAGACCCAUAUUACGAAGAAAUUAGAGACCACAAUUAGUAUAAGACUAAUCAACCUCUUUAAUUUACGAAUAGAAACCAAAGAUAUCAAAUUAAGAAUUAGUCUUACCUCUUAAAGAACCGUUCUUAUAAGGUUGUAAGAUAAAUCCAAAGUCACCACACACAAAGGUGUAAAGAAGAGAAACCUCUCAAAUAAUAUUAAUCAUGUCCGUAUUAAAAUAAUAAAAUCAACCCCUAUAUAUAGGGAAAACCUAUCCCAAAUAGGUUAGGAUUUAAAUCCUACUUUUAUGGAACUUUAAACUAGGGAAACUUUAAACUAGCAAACUUUUUAAACUAGGAAAACUUUAAACUAGUAAACUUUUUAGAACUUUUAACUUUAAGCGUUCAACUUGCUGGACUCUUUUAUUGGGCUUCGUGUGGCCCAAUCUUCUUUCUUUUGGGCUUAAAUUUGGACACCCCUUUCGUGAUAAAUAUAUUCUUGAUUAUGUAUUGAAGCCUAUCAACUUUAGUACAAGUAGGCUGACAUGGAUGCUAUCAGGUCUAUAGAAUUUCUAGACUAAGAGAAGCAACUUUGGGUAUUGAAAGCAUAUCUUUAAGCUAGUUUUCUCCAAGCGCUACUUAGAUUUAUCCAAGAAAAAUAACAACUUGAAUCCAAACCUCUCUAUCAUCAUGAUUCCUCACAAUCCAAAGCUAUAGUACUUGUGUCCCUAUUUCCUUUCUAUCCACAAUGUGAAAGUUAUGCUUAGAUGACUAACAACUGAAAAACUACAUUGAUGGAGCUAGAGAGAGAAAGUAUGAAAGAGACGAUUGAGAGAUUGAUUUGGGGAAAUGAAAAAUUAAAUUCUAUUCCACUUCUUUCCAAUAUUUAUACAUGUAUGUACAAAAAUGAAAAUAUCUUCUAAUCAACAUGACAGCUGAGACGCAACUGAUUUCCUAACUAACUUCCUUUCAACCAAUGAGCUAACUAAUUUCUUUAUAACAAAAAACAUAUAAUUAAUUGAAAGCUGAAGUUUAACUAAUCUGAACACCCCCCCCCUUCAAGUUGGAAGGGAGAUGAUUCCAGAUAACUUGUGCAAAAUAGUCGAGUGCUUGGGCCCAAUGAGGCUCUUGGUUAAAAUAUCAACUAGUUGUUCAUUAGUGGGGAUGUGGUGAAGAGUCACAAGUCCUUCGUGUAGUUUUUCUAGAAAAAAUGACAAUCAACCUUUAUUUGCUUAGUUCUUUCAUGGAAUACAAGAUUCUUUGCAAUAUGAAUGGCUGCUUGACAGUCACAAAAGACUGAGAUAGGUUGGUAAGGUGCUUCACCUAUUUCACAAAGCGAUCCAUCAAGCCAAACUAAUUCUCUAACCACUUUUCUUACUGAGCUGCAUUCUGCCUCUGCUAAGGAGAGUGAGAUAGUGAUUUGUUUCUCUGAUUUCCAACUUACAGGGUGAUUCCCCAUGAGCACUUUGUAUUCACUUACAGAUCUUUUGGAAUCGAGAGAUGCAGCCCAGUCAGAGUCACAAUAAGCAGUGACGACAUAGUUCGGAUCUUUAGUUAGAUAAAUCUCCAUUGUGGAAGUGUUCUUCAGAUUCCUCAAUACGUGGAAAGCAACCUUCAAGUGAAGUUUUCUUGGUGCUUGCAAAAUUUGACUGAGAUGUUGUACACUAAAUGAAAUGUACAAUAUAGCAUUUAUAAGGAAAUUUAACUUUCCCACUAAUUUCCUAUAGUAUGUUGGAUCAACUAGCAGUGUUCCUUCAUGAGACUUAAAUUUUACCACAACAUCAAGAGGAGAAGUAGUUGGACUAUGGUGUAAGCAAUCAAAUUCUUUGAUUAGAUCUGUGGUAAACUUCUUCAGUGUGAUGAGUACCCCAUUCUGCUUGUAGAGAAUCUCCAAUCCCAGGAUGUAAUGAAGCUUUCCUAGGUCUUUAAUUUUGAACUGGUCAUGUAAAAAGGACUUCAGGGAUGUGAUUUCAUCUAGGUCAGUUCCUGUCAAAAUUAUUUUAUCAACAUACAAUGCUACAUAAAUUCUGGUUGAUUUAUCCUUCUUGUAGAACAAUGAGUAAUCACUGGUAGAGUGUGAGUAUCCUCUUGAAUACAAUGCCUCUGCUAACUUCUCAUACAAUUGCCUACUACCUUGAUUUAACCCAUACAAGGACUUAUUGAGCUUGCAAAAAAGUCCCUUUUCAUUCACUUGGAGUCCCUGUGGAAGGUUCAUGUUUACUUCUUUAUUUAAAUUUCCAUAAGAUAAAAUCAGCAGCAUGAAUCUGCUAAUUUGCUCUGUUCCUCCAUUAAUGGAGGUUAAGCUUGUGUACAAAGAAACUAAAUUGAAAGAGAAGAGGGAAGAGCUUUCAUUGAAUCAAAAACUAACUAAUAAGUGUUACACUGUGAUACUUAUAUACAAUUUCUAAUUAAUAAAAUCUGGAAGCAUCUACUCAAUUCUAGAAUAAUGAAAAGCAACUAACUAACUUGACACUGUUGCAACUAACUCUAACUAACUUCACUGUACACUAUAUUCUCAACACCCCCCUCAAGUUGGAGGUGAGGUAAUUACAAACAACUUGUUCAAUAGAGCAGUAUGUUUAACCCCAGUUAAAACUUUGGUGAAGAUAUCUGCCAACUGUGAAUCAGUGGGGAUGUGAUGGAGUGUGAUCAAGCCUUGCUGGAGUUUAGUCCUAACAAAGUGGCAGUCGAUUUCUAUGUGCUUUGUCCUCUCAUGAAAGACUGGAUUCUUGGCAAUAUGGACUGCUGCUUGACUGUCACAGUGGAAAUGUAUUGGUAAGGAGCAUUUGACAUUUAAUUCAUCAAGUAGCCUUUCAAACCAUACUAAUUCUCCCACAACUUGUCUUACAUCUCUGUAUUCAGCUUCAGCAGAAGACAAAUAUAUUGUGGUUUGCUUCAUAGACUUCCAACUGAUAGGGCUAUCACCCAUAAGCACUAGGUAUCUACUUACAGACUUCCUUGAAUCAGAGCAUGCAGCCCAGUCUGAAUCACAAUAAGCACUAAUAGUGAGAUCAAGUUUGUUUGAAAUAAAUAUCCCCAUUGUAGGGUCCUUCUUUAAGUAUCUCAGUACAUGAUAAGAUGCUCUCAAAUGUGUCUCCCUAGGUGUUUGCAUGAAUUGACUUAAGUGUUGUAUACUGUAGGCUAUGUCCAUUCCGGUGUUUGUAAGAAAGUUUAGUUUACCAACCAACUUCCUGUAUUGAGUAGGAUUAGACAAGAGCUUGCCAUUUGUAGCCUUCAACUUCUCAGUGCAAUCAAGUGGUGAUGUGGUGGCCUUGUAGUUUAGUGCAUCAAAGUCUUUCAAGAGAUCAAAAGUAAAUUUUCUUUGUGAAACAAGAACACCAUCAUGCCUGUAUAAAAUUUCCAGCCCAUAAAGUGGUGUAGUUUACCCAAAUUCUUUAUCUUGAACUGAUCAUUCAGGAAGACCUUUAAAGAGUUGAUCUCAUCAAUAUCAGUCCCAGUCAUAAUUAUAUCAUUCAUAUAUAUGGCAACAAAAACCAAGGAACAUCCUUUCCUUUUAUAGAACAGUGAAUAGUCACUAUCUGAAUAUCCUUUUGAACAAAGAUUGUGUGCCAACUUAUCAUACCAUUGUCUGCUGGCCUGCUUCAAUCCAUAUAAGGAUUUUUUCAAUUUGCACACUAUGUUGUCACAACCUACAUCUAGACCUUGUGUAAGUGCCAUGUACACUUCCUCAUUUAAAUCACCAUGCAAGAAUGCAUUGUUGACAUCCAAUUGGUAUAGGUUCCAACCUUUCUUGACAGCUAAAGAAAUCAAGGUUCUAAUAGUAGUCAUUUUAACCACAGGUGAAAAGGUUUUAGUGUAAUCUAUCCCAACUUGUUAUGUGUAGCCUUUGACUACCAAUCUAGCCUUGAAACUCUCCACACUCCUAUCAGCCUUAUGUUUGAUUUUGUACACCCACUUGCAACCAAUAGCUUUCUUCCCUUCAGGUAAUAUGACCAUUUCCCAAGUGUCAUUAGUAUACAACGCUUCAAACUCAUGUAUCAUGGCCUAUUGCCAGGCAGGAUGCAAGAUUGCAUCCUCAAAUGAAUUAGGUUCAUAUUCAUGUGAAAUGGUUUUCACUAACUGCUGACUAUCAGAACAAAAACUGUUGAAACAAACAUGAUCAUGUUGGGAUAUAAAAGAUGUAAGGGAGUGUAGGUUAGGCAAGGUGUAGUUGUAUUCUUUGAGGUAAUUAGGAGUAUGAAUUGUUCUAGUGGUUCUUCUAAGUGCUGGUAAAGUAUUAUUGUUUGUAGAGGUAUUGGGAUCAAACGAAGUAUGUUGUGUUGUAGGUUCAUGUGUGACUUCAGGUGGUGUUGAGGUCAGAUUGGUAUUAGUUGUUACUUGGUCAUUAGUGAUCUCAUGUGGUGUGAAAUUAUCCAGCAAAUAAUCAUUAACAAAAGUGUUUGUUUUUCCAUGCAGGCAAGUUAUAUCAGUGGCAUGAAUUAGCAUCUGUAAGAUAGUAUUAAAACUAGAGCCAACAUGAACAAUGACAAAUGAAAAUACUUUUUCAUGAAAAAUGACAUCUCUAGAUAAAUGAACCUUUUUGGUAGCUAAAUUCAGAACCUUGUAACCUUUUGUGUUGAAAGGGUAGCCAAUAAAGAUGUGAGGUGUGGUUCUUGGUUCAAAUUUGUCCUUAUGAGUCUUCAAGGUAGUGGGAAAACAAAGACAACCAAAGCUUUUAAGAUGAGAAUAUGUGGGUUUUUUGUGGUAUAAUAGUUCAUAUGGGGAUUUAUUUUGAAGGAGUUGAGAGGGCAAUCUAUUUAUGAGGUAUGUGGUAGUCAAUACACAUUCCCCCAGUACCUCAUAGGUAACUUUGACUGGAACAAAAGAGCUCUUGCUGUUUCAAGAAGGUACUUAUGUUUCCUUAUUCCACUACCCCAUUUUGUUGAGGUGUAUAAGGACAAGUUUUUUGGUGUAUGAUGCAUUUGGAUUUAAAGAAACAAGUGGCCUCAGCUUAAGUGAACUCCAGACCAUUAUGGCUUUCAACUUGGUUUGGAACUGAUUUUCUAUGAGGGAUAUGAAGGCUUUGAUGGUUUGUAGAGCACUACUCUUACAUCUUAGUAAUUGUGUCCAAGUGGAUCUACUAUGGUCAUCUACCAUAGUGAGAAAGUAAUGAUAACCGUCAUGAGUGGGAAUGUGGUAUGGUCCCCAUAAGUCAAUGUGUAGUAACUCAAACACUUCAGUCGUAGUAAUGGUACUUUCUGGAAAGGGCAUCCUAGUUUGCCUAGCCAUAGGACAUAUGGUGCAAGUAAAAUGUUGUUUAUUAGAAAAAAUUAUAGGUAUGGUUGAAAUGUUUUUCAUUUUCACAAAGGUACAUGUCCUAAUCUAGCAUGCCAUAAUAAUUCAUCAUCAUGAGUAUGGGUGGAGGUAUUAGCAAAUGAGGAAAAAGAAUCAAUAAGACAAGAAUGAGAAUUAACAGCAUUGCAAACUUAGUUAUUGAUAGAAGAACAUUUUACAAAAGAUGUGGUGCACACAUUAGGAUUUUUCUUCCUGUCAACAUUGGCUACAGAAGGAACAAGAUGACAAGCAACAUGUGAAUUAUUUUCAGCAGAAGAUGCAUAACAGUUGUGGCACUUUGGACACAGGAAGUACAGACCAUUCUUGGCUCUACCAAGUUCUAGAGGGCUCUUUAGAGAAGGACCUUGCAGUAAACAAGAAGAUUUGUUAAAGCUGACUAUACCAUUGAGUUGUAGUGCUAGGCAAUUAACAGAGAUCAGAUUAAACUUGAAGCUAGGAACAAACAAUACUUUGUUAAGAGUCAAUGCUGGACUUAAGCAAACAUCACCAAUUUCAAUCACUUUGACCUUAUAACCAUUAGGUAGUAAAAUUAGGAAAGGGUAUGGAAGUGAUCUAAUGUUUGUGAGGUUGGCUUUGUUGUAAGUCAUGUGGUGUGAUGCUCCUGAGUCUAUGAUCCAAGAGCCAUCAUUUAGUUUGACACAUUUACAAGAAAGAUCACUAAUAUCAGUAAUAUAGGAGUAACAAGCAAGUAUACCUGCCAGAUUCACAGUUCCAUUCAACAUAAUGUUUGAGUUGUCUGAGUUAGAUGCUUCAUUUCCAACCUGCAGAGUCCCUAAAAGAUUAUGCAAUUGUUCAUAUUGAUCUUUGGACAAGUUUAAUGGCAUUUGCCUCUUGAUUUCAGGUUCCUCCUCAGACUGAUGCCCAUUCAUAUAAGAUGAACACACAUUUGCUGCAGAACCUGUGCCUUUUCCCUUUUGAAACUUUGGAUUGGAUGGGUACCCAUGAAGCUUGUAGCAUCUAUCCUUUGUGUGCCCUGAUUUUUUACAGUAAUCGCAAAACAAAGAUGACCUGUUAGUACUGGGAUUUCCCCUAAAUAUAGCAUUGGUGUUUGUAUUUGCAGAGCUGGUUCCACCCCCUCUAGAUGAGCUGUAAUUAGUUCUGAACCCUUUGUAUCCCACACUACUGUUGGUUUGGCCAUAGGCAUUGAGUGAGGUAGAAUCCAAAGUUGUAUGAUUGUGAGGUCUCACCUCUCUUUGUUUUUCUUCUUGGGAUAGGAUGACAAAGGCUUGAGCCAUGCUUGGAAGUAUGUUCAUCAUGAGAAUAUUGCCUCUAACAGUUGUGUACAUUUCAUUUAGUCCCAUCAAAAAAUGUAUGAGUCUCCUGUCUUGUUCAGCCUUGUGCAUUUUGGUCUUACCACCACAAACACACACAAGUGCACUGAGAAUUAACAUCGAUGGUACUCAUUUCCUCCCACAACUUCUUCAUCUUUGUGUAAUAUCCAGUAAUGUCCAGAGUGCCUUGGACAAGAUCAUUGAUCUCCUUUUGCAAUUGAUACAUCUUGUAACCAUUUGUCUGAUCGUAUCUAUCUUCCAACUCUGCCCAAAGUUCCUUGGCAUUAUUCACAUACUGCAGGCCAUCACGCAAUCACGGGGACAGGGAAUUCAGAAUCCAAGAGGUGACCAUGUCAUCAUACCUCUCCCAUUGCAUGAAACUGGGAUCAGUGUGAGUACGUCGCACAAUUGUUCCGUUAAUGAAACAUGUUUUACUCUUGACUAAAAGAGCUCUAAAAAUAGACCUUCUCUAAGAUCUAUACCCAGUGCCAUAAAAAACUGCAGGCAAAAGAGAGGAACCUGUAUUCUCUAAAGGAUGUAAGUAAAAAGGGCUGGUAAAAUCCAUUCGAACUGUGGACGAACUAGAAGCAGGAUCAGCUUGGAGAUUAACCAUGGUGUUUGAUUUGUUCGCGAAGUGAUUCAAUCACAAAAUGAGAAUUCAAUUUUUCUAAUAAACUAGGGAACUCAACAACGAGGAUGAAUCAAAUGAAGAUCGCAAAAGUAAAAUUGCAGAUCUAAUGAGUAUAAAAGAUUCUUCAAACAACUAAUGAAGACAACAACAAAAAUUCACAAUUACAGCGGAAAAAAAACUCACAAAGUAAAUUGAAGAUGGAGGAAGAACAUGAACAAUCAACUGCGCUCUGAUACCAUGAUAAAAUCAGCAGCAUGAAUCUGUUAAUUUGCUCUGUUCCUCCAUUAAUGGAGGUCAAGUUUGUGUACAGAGAAACUGAAUUGAAAGAGAAGAGGGAAGAACUUUCAUUGAAUAAAAACUAACUAAUAAGUGUUACACUGUGAUAUUUAUAUACAAUUUCUAAUUAAUAAAAUCUGGAAGCAUCUACUCAAUUCUAGAAUAAUGAAAAGCAACUAACUAACUUGACACUGUUGCAACUAACUCUAACUAACUUCACUGUACACUAUAUUCUCAACACCAUACAGGAAUGCAUUAUUCACAUCCAACUGAAAUAGAUCCCAACCUUUCUUAACAACUAAACUGAUCAGAGCCCUAACAGUAGUCAUCUUGACUACUGGAGAAUGUCUCAAUGUAAUCAAUACUAGACUGUUGAGUGUAUCCCUUGACUACUAGUCUAACUUUGAUUCUCUCCACUGUUCCAUCAGCCUUAUGUUUAAUCUUGUAAACUCACUUGCAUCCAAUUGUCCUCUUGUCUGCAGGUAAAUGAACUAAACUUCAGGUAUUGCUAGUAUCCAAAGCUUCAAAUUCAGGUGACAUUGUUGAUUGCCAAGCAGAGCUCAUGGUUGCCUCCUCAUAUGAGUUUGGCUCACUAUCAUGAGUAAUGUUUCUUACUAGCUGCUGACUCUCAGUGUCAAAACUAGUGAGUGAAACAUAUUGGUCAUUGGUGAUAUUAGGAGGAUGGUAAAGUGAUGACUCAGCCUGCAGGUUGGGAAGAUUAUAGGUAUAUUCAUUGAGGUAUUUUGGUACAACGUGUGUCCUACUUGUUCUUCUAGGUGCAAGAGGUUGGUGUUGUGAACAAGAAAAAGUAUAAAUGGUGGUAUGUGGGGAAUUAGAUAUUUCUGGGCUAUCUGAUGGAAUUGUUUCAUCAAGUGAGGUCUCAAUGUGUUGUAAGUUGGCAUUAACAAUAUUAUAUGUGACAACAAUUGAGUUGUUCUCAUUCAAAUCAUGAGCAUUAUUCAAAGUACUAUUUGUGAAGUUCAACAAUUUAGGAUUAGCAUUAAAAAUUCUCAAUACAGAACUAAAACUAGAAUUAGGAAAAGAGAGAACAAAAGGAAAGGUAUUAUUAGUUAGUUGUUUUAGGAUUGCAGUGUCUAUUUCUGAGUUUCCUGUAUUUCUCUUUUCAGUUAUUUUAGGAGGUAGUUACCAUGGUUAGCACCAUGAAUUAAAAGUAGGACCAUGACCUAUUUCAGUUUCUUUCCUUUAUGUUUAUGGAUCUAUUUUUCUACAGAAUUAAUUUAACUCUCUACAUAAGCUUUUCUAGUCUUCUUCUUCACUUUAUAUUCCUUCUAUUCUCCUUCCUUCUUUUCUAUUACAGACUAAACACUGCCUUUAUUCUGUUAUCUUCCAUUUUCUUAUUAUAAACUCACUGUUGGUAUCAGAGUUUCAUCUUAAGGGGUCUAUGAUCGAGUUGGAGAAGCCAUGGAUGCUGAAGUAAGUUUCUUACCAAUUACUCUACCGAUCUUUGAUAGAGAUAAUUAUCAGAUUUGGGAAGUACGAAUGGAGAUGUACUUGGAUGCUUUGGAUCUCUGGGAAGUUGUGGAAGAGGAUUACGAUAUCCCAGCCUUACCAAAUAAUCCUACCAUUGCUCAGAUUAAAACACACAAAGAAAAGAAGACAAAGAAAUUGAAGGCCAAGGAAUGCUUAUUUGUUGUUGUAUCGUCAACAGUUUUCACCCAAAUAAUGUCUGAGAAAACUGCUAAAGAAAUAUGGGAUUAUCUCAAGGAAGAGUAUUAUAGAGAUGAUAGAAUAAAAGGUAUGCAAGUUUUAAACUUAAUUAGGGAGUUUGAAUUGCGAAAAAUGAAGGAAUCUAAAACAGUGAAGGAGUAUUCAGAUAGACUUCUAAUAUUGCAAAUAAAGUGAAUCUACUCGGCUCUACAUUUUCAGAAUCAAGAAUUGUUGAGAAGAUUCUUGUAAUAGUUCCUGAAAGGUAUGAAGCAACAAUUACGACCUUAGAAAAUACUAAGGAUUUAUCAAAAAAUAGUUUGACAGAGUUCCUCAAUUCCCUGAAAGCUCAAGAGCAAAGAAGACUCAUGAGACAAGAGGUUACAACAGAAGGGGCUCUUGUCAGUAAGCAUCAUGUUAACAAAAUUAAGAAGAAUAAAAAGAAUCAAGCAUUGUGUGAAGGAGAAACAUCAGCCAACAACAAAAGUAAGAGAGGAAGCUCAAAGAAAAGUUAUUCCCCUUGUCACCACUGUGGAAGAAAAGGUCAUCCACCAUUCAAGUGUUGGAGGAGACCUGAUGCUAAAUGCAUGAAAUGCAAUCAGCUUGGACACGAAGCAGUGAUUUGCAAGAAUAAGACCCCACAACAGGAAGGAAAUGCUCAAGUUGUUGAUUAAGAAGAAGAGGAUCAUCUUUUUGUUGCAACAUGCUUUCCAAGUAAGUUCUCAAUAGAUUCUUGGUUAAUUGAUUGUGGGUGCACUAACCACAGGACACAUGACGAAGUCCAUUCAAGGAGUUGAAGCCCAUUGAAAUUUCCAAGGUUUGGAUAGGAAAUGGAGAUCACCUUCCUAUCAAAGGAAUUGGAACUAUUGUUAUCAAGAUAAGCACAUGCACAAAGAAAAUUUUAGAAGUUCUUUAUGUUCUUGAAAUUGAUCAAAAUUUUCUAAGUGUAGGACAUCUGAUGGAAAAAAGAUUCAAAGUUUAAUUCAAAGAUUAUCACUGUCAAAUUAGUGACACUACUGGAAAUGAAAUUUUCAGGGUGAAGAUGAGAGGAAGGAGUUUUUCUUUUGAUCAAACAAAGAAGGAGCAACUAGCUUUUUCCAUGAAGGUAAGUGUAACAGAAAUCUGGCACAAGAGACUUGGUCAUUGUCAUCUACAAGCAUUAUUAUUGCUGAUGAAGGAAGAUAUGACAAGAGGACUACCAACUCUAGUUGAUCACUUACCAAGUUUUCAAGCUUGUCAAUAUGGUAAGCAAAAAAGGAAGUCAUUUCCUAAAGCAUCAUGGCGAACUUCUGAAAGGUUGCAGUUGAUUCACACAGAUGUUGCAGGACCUCAAAAACACCAUCUCUUAAUGGUAGUCUAUACUAUGUUAUAUUUAUUGACGAUUAUACAAGAUUCUGUUGGAUUUAUUUUAUGAAAUAUAUAUCAGAAGUGGCAUGAAUUUUCUCGAAGUUCAAGAAGAUGGUGGAAAGUCAAAGUGGUUGCAAAAUCCAAUCCCUGUGGUCUGACAAUGAAAAAGAUUAUAAUUCUGAAGAAUUUAACAAAUUUUGUGAGGAAGUAGGUAUUACUCAUCAGCUUACUGCUCCAUAUACUCGGCAACAAAAUGCAGUUAGUGAAAGGAGGAACAUAUAUAUAGUGGCAAUGACGCGGUGCAUGUUGCAUGAAAAAGAGUUGCCGAAAAGUUUUUGGGCUGAGGCAGCUAAUACAACAAUAUUUCUCCAAAAUCGGCUUCCUACUAAAGCAUUGCUGGAUAAAACUCCCUUUGAGGCUUGGAAUGGAAUCAAACCAUCACUAAGCUUCAUUAAAGUAUUUGGUUGUGUUUGUUUCUUUCAUGUGCCACAGGUUAAAAGAGACAAACUUGACAAGAAGGCACUUCUUGGAAUAUUUGUGGGUUAUAGCUCAUCCUCCAAAACCUACAAAGUUUAUAAUCCACAAAGACAGAAGAUGAUUGUCAGUAGGGAUGUGCACUUUUCUAAGGAAGAGAAAUGUGACCAGAAGGACAAUAAACUUUCAGUCCAAGUUUUAGAGGAGCAGGCAUCUGAUCACUCACAAAAUGAGUUAGUUGAUUAUCUUUCAAUUAGAUAUACAAGACUACUCUCUAACAUCUACCAACAAAGUAAUGUAACAGUUUGUGAGCCUGCAGGGCAUGAGGGAGCACUUCAAGAUAAAAAUUGGAGAAACUCCAUGAAGUAGGAGAUGCUAAUCAUCAAGAAAAACUAAACUUAGGAGUUAGUUGACCGACCAAAAGAUAGGAAGGUCAUUGGAGUAAAAUGAGUGUUUAGAACCAAGCUCAAUUCUGAUGGUUCUAUCAAUAAAUACAAGGCUAGACUUGUUGUCAAAGGAUAUGCCUAAAUAUUUGGUGUUGAUUACUCGGACACCUUUGCUACAGUAGCCCAAUUGGAUACCAUUAGAUUGUUGCUAGCAAUAGCAGCACAAAAGGGAUUGAAAGUGUUCUAGCUAGAUGUGAAAUCUGCUUUUUAAAAUGGUGUACUACUAGAAAAAAUCUAUGUAGAGCAACCCGAGGGUUUCUUUCAGCAAGGAAAAGAAGAAAAAGUGUGUCUGCUUAAAAAAAAAACUCUUUAUGGCUUAAAACAAGAUCCAAGAGCUUGGUAUAGCAGGAUUGAUGAUCCAACUCUUUGGGGUUUGUACGAAGUGUAUUUGAAGUUACUUUUUAUGUCAAACAUGAAGGAACUGAUCUUCUCAUUGUUUCCCUUUAUGUUGAUGAUCUCUUGGUGACAGGAAACAAUGUAUGGCUGGUUGAAGAGUUUAAGAAGGAAAUGAUGCAAGUCUUUGAGAUGACUUACCUGGGGCUAAUGACAUACUUUCAGGGAAUGGAAAUCAAACAAGGUCGUGAUGAAAUUUAUCUACCAAAAGAAGUAUCCAAGAGAGAUACUUAAGAAAUUUCACAUGGAAAAUUGCAAGGCAACAAGCACAACAAUGUUGUAAGUGAUCUUUUAUCCAGAUUUAUGCAUUGUGCUACUGAAAUGCAUUUGCGAGCAGCAAAAGAAUUACUGUCACCCCCGAGCUACCCUCGAGAUGUGGACACGGGACCUAGAAUCACAAGUGACCCCACACUAACCCUGCUGGCAUAAUCAUGAGCAUACUAAAGAUAAACUAAGAAAGAAAACUAAUUGCAGAAGCUAAUCAUAAAUAAAUCUGAAAUGAUGGGGAAUACCCGUAUCUAAAACUGAAUAUCAAAUCUGAGAGUUUAAUACAAAAGAAACAUCAAACUCAAAUACUAAGCUGAAUCUAACUAUGUCUAAAAACAACCUCUAACUGACUAGAAGUGUUGGGACAUGCCCAGCUAAGUCUAGCAAACCUGAAACUAAAACAAUGAAAACUGAAAGAUAACAUGACUAUUGUCCUCGAAGAAUGAGGACUCACCACUGAUGCUGCUGAACUGGAGAUCGGGGACCGAUCUAAGCGUGAUCUGGAUGCUGAGAAUCUAAAACUACAUCACAAGAAGAUGUGGCGCAGAGUAUGCGUCAGUACUUGAAAGGUACUGAGCACGCAGGAUAGAGUAAAGCUAAAAUAAACAUAUAACUGAACAAGCAAUUAUGGCUGGUUGAAGAGUUUAAGAAGGAAAUGAUGCAAGUCUUUGAGAUGACUUACCUGGGGCUAAUGACAUACUUUCAGGGAAUGGAAAUCAAACAAGGUCGUGAUGAAAUUUAUCUACCAAAAGAAGUAUCCAAGAGAGAUACUUAAGAAAUUUCACAUGGAAAAUUGCAAGGCAACAAGCACAACAAUGUUGUAAGUGAUCUUUUAUCCAGAUUUAUGCAUUGUGCUACUGAAAUGCAUUUGCGAGCAGCAAAAGAAUUACUGUCACCCCCGAGCUACCCUCGAGAUGUGGACACGGGACCUAGAAUCACAAGUGACCCCACACUAACCCUGCUGGCAUAAUCAUGAGCAUACUAAAGAUAAACUAAGAAAGAAAACUAAUUGCAGAAGCUAAUCAUAAAUAAAUCUGAAAUGAUGGGGAAUACCCGUAUCUAAAACUGAAUAUCAAAUCUGAGAGUUUAAUACAAAAGAAACAUCAAACUCAAAUACUAAGCUGAAUCUAACUAUGUCUAAAAACAACCUCUAACUGACUAGAAGUGUUGGGACAUGCCCAGCUAAGUCUAGCAAAACUGAAACUAAAACAAUGAAAACUGAAAGAUAACAUGACUAUUGUCCUCGAAGAAUGAGGACUCACCACUGAUGCUGCUGAACUGGAGAUCGGGGACCGAUCUAAGCGUGAUCUGGAUGCUGAGAAUCUAAAACUACAUCACAAGAAGAUGUGGCGCAGAGUAUGCGUCAGUACUUGAAAGGUACUGAGCACGCAGGAUAGAGUAAAGCUAAAAUAAACAUAUAACUGAACAAGCAAUGAAGCAAGAGUAUAAUCUGAACAUGAUAUAGAUACUGAAUACUGAGCUAACAAAAUGCAAUGACCAAAUUUAGACAUGUUGAUGCUGAAUACUGAUUAUACUGAAAUGUGGUCAAUGCAAUGGAGUCUGACUGAACUGUGGGAGCUACUAAUAACCGAUAAUAAAACCACGUGAGCUAAAUGUGGAGUCCGAUGUAUACGCCCCAUCAAGAGGACCCAAUACACCCGGCCAAAGGUGUAGAGGCAUGCUGGCGUGAUCACUAAAAUGAUGCCCACAGAGGGGACUUCCAACCUACGUGGCUUGUAGUUCUGGGACUAUAUGGGUGACUACCCUAGUCCAACUCGGUAUUAUGCUACUCCCAAUAGAUUAAAUGAUUAACACAUGCUAGGUCAGAUAUUUUAGUAUUUCAGAUGUACAUGUCUCAGUUUGAAUGUGUCAUUGUCAGUAUAUAAAUGUGCGCUCUCAUUUUGCAUGUCAUUUUUGAGCUAUCCAAUAUAUUUCAGUAAUUCAGUCAUAAUGUUAUCCAGAGUGUCCUUGGUGCUGCUAGAUGGUCCUUGCACCUGAACAUUUUCAAGCAAUCUCACCAGAUGAUCAUAUUGGUCUUUGGUUAAGCUUUGAGUUCCCUGAAUGUGGUCCAGUUCCCCUUGUGAACUUGAGGUUUUGGGGAAAACCAUGCAACCUAUAGCACUUGUCUUCUGUGUGUCCAACCUUCUUACAGUAAUCACAAAACAAAUUUUCUUUGUUAAUAUUAGGAAUGGGAUAAGUGUUCCUGUUGACAUGCUGAAAAUGAUUGAAAGGACCUCUGUAGAUGUUGUUUCCAUUUCUGUGAUUGUUGUAAGAGUAGUUUGUUCUGAAAUUGCCAUUUCCAGAACUAGCACUAAGUGAGGUAGAGGCUCUAGAACUAGCACUAAGUGAGGUAGAGGCUAAACUCAUGCGAGUGGAUGGUUUGACUUCUCGUUGUUUCUCCUCUUUCACUAAAAUAGAAAAAGCCUGUGCCAUAGUUAGCAGUGGGUUCAUCAUAAGAAUGCUACCUCGCACUAUAGUGUAGACCUCGUUAAGUCCCAUCAGGAACUGGAUGAGCUUUCGAUCCUGCUCCGCCUUAUGCAUUUUGGUCUUACCACCACAAUCGCACAGACAAGUGCAUUGAGUGUUGGGAUCCAGGGUAUUAAGAUCUUUCCAGAGUCCUCGAAGCAUGGAAUAGUACCCUGUAAUGUCCAGAUUUCCUUGGGCGAGAUCAUUGAUCUCCUGUUGGAGCUAAUAGAGUUUCGCACCAUUGAUUUGGUCAUACCUGUCUUGCAGUUCCUCCCACAAUUCCUUUGCGUUGUUGACAUACUGCAAGCUGUCAACUAAGUCCUUCAACAGAGAAUUGAGAAUCCACGACCUGACCAUGUCAUCGCAACGUUCCCAUUGAGCGAAUGUGGGUGAAUUUACAACCAGUUUCUGAACUUUCCAUUGAUGAAACCUACUUUGUUUUUCACAGAUAGGGCGUGAAGGACACCGCGUCACCAAGAUCUAUAACCAGUUCCAGUUCCAUCGAAGAGCACCAGAAUGAUCGCAGAUCCAGCUCUUUCUGAUGGAUGCAUGUACAGUGGUUGGCUGGAAUCAACAACUUGCUGAGUUUGGAUCUGAGGAGCGUCUGUGUUCUGAUCCAUGAGAUUGAUGAAAUUGAGCUAGAAAAAUCUGAGACCUAAACAUGGAAUCUAAGAAACAAGAAUUCGUGAAUGAGAUGAAAAAGAAAGGAAUCAGAGAAACAAAAGAGAAUGAAGAACUAAGUGAGGUGAUGCGGAAGACGAAGAAGAGAUCAGUGCCUAUUGCUCUAAUACCAUGUCAAAGUUGUGCAUAGAUGACUAACAAGCUAGAGAGAGAGAGAGUAUGAAAGAGACGAUUGAGAGUGUGAUUUGGGGAAAUGAAAAAUUAACUUCUAUUCCACUUCUUUAUUAUACAUGUAUGUACAGAAAUGAAAAUAUCUUCUAAUCAACAUGACAGCUAAGACACAACUGAUUUCUUAACUUCCUUUCAACCAGUAAGCUAAUUAACUAACUUCUUUAUAACAAGAAGCAUAUAAUUAAUUGAAAGCUGAAUUUUAACUAAUCUCAACACACAAAAUCUAGAAGAACUAGUUCUCCAGUAAAUAUGCAAGACACAUGAGCUAAAGACUCAUGUUACUUUUGUAAUGAGAAAUACAACCUUGGCAAUAAGUGCAGCCUCCCAGAAUAGCUAUUUAUAUUGAAGAGUGAAGAGUUGAAAGUCUCUGGUGAUGCUAGAAAAGAAGAGAGCCUUCCACUUGAGGAUAAGAGUAAACCAGUGAUCUCAAUUUAUGCCUCGACUAGGAUAAGAGGUGCUCAAACCAUUAAGGUUUUAUUGUAUACUACUCAACGACCCUUACAUAAUCUGAUUGUUGGUGGGAGCACACAUUACUUCAUUUACCAUGACACAACUCAGAAGUUAGGGUGUCCCAUCACCCUCUUACUUAGUCAAUAUGUCAGCAAUGGUAAAUCUAGAAUGCUGUUUCAUUGUAUCCAGAUUCUACAUGCUCAAUCCUUUCUACUGAUUAAGCUUUAUUUUUCUUUAACCAAGAGUCCCUUUCAGCACAAUGCUCUUUCUUCAAGAGCUAUGUGCUUGGACUCUUCAAUAAUAUCGAUGGGUGCAUUUCUGAUCCUCUAAAGUUAGUGUAAUUUUGGAGGAUCCGACACAGGUGCGAUAACACUUUUGAAGAGUCCGUGCAACAUAGAUCAACAACACAUCUGAAUGAUAUCUUCCUUGUUUUUUUUACUAUUAGGGAGGUGGAGUGUGUGAUGAGGUGAUAAAUCUGAGACCACUGUUGAUUUUAUUAACUGAAGAAGUAGAGCAGCUCAUUCAUCUCAUUAUCUAUACAACCUGGUUUGGUGCUUUUGUGGCACACAAGAAUCGAGAGCCUGUUCUAAAUAUUCAAAUGAAACUCUCCAAAUUACAUAUAUAUAUAUAUAUAAUAAGAAAUGUGUCUUUUCUUGAUGGAGAAGCAGUUCAAAUUCUGAAGAGGAUUAAAGUCUAGUCUCCAUAAAUCAUAUACAUUUCCUUAGGUUCAACCAAAUACAAAUAUACAAUACACUUAAAUACAAUCCUUCACAGUUUAUGGUGAAUUAUUUCAAUCAAACUCACAAUUAAAGACUCAAAUUCAAGUUCAUUACUUCUGGAAAGUUCCGUCUUUGGUAGCUGUGCCUAUGAAAUUUGCUGAUUCUUCAGUAGAACAAAGUGAUGAACUGGAUGAAGAAAUUACGGAGGCGUUCAGUGGCAUUGCCUGUGUGUUCAAAGAAUGUCUUCCUGAACAAUAAGGAGUACAUAAUAAAGGUUUUGGUGGGAUUUCUAAGACGAGGCUUCCCUCUAGCAUGUCAAUAACCUUACUCAUUGAUGGUCUUUGUGCUGGAUCAGUUUGGAUGCACCACAGACCUACUAAUAUCAUCUUUCUAGCAGUUUCUUCUUCUUCUAUGUCUAUAAUCCCAUGUAGCUUCAGGUCAUCGUCUAGCUGAACAUGCUGAUAUGCCCAGUAAGGAAAAUAUAUCUCACUUGUAUGGCUCACUUCUUCCUUGACAUUCUUUCUUCCUCCAACCAUUUCUAGAACCAUCAUUCCAUAACUAUAGACAUCAGAUUUGUGUGACACUCC